AGUGAACGCUGGCGGUAGGCCUAACACAUGCAAGUCGAACGGCAGCACAGUAAGAGCUUGCUCUUACGGGUGGCGAGUGGCGGACGGGUGAGGAAUACAUCGGAAUCUACUUUUUCGUGGGGGAUAACGUAGGGAAACUUACGCUAAUACCGCAUACGACCUACGGGUGAAAGCAGGGGAUCUUCGGACCUUGCGCGAUUGAAUGAGCCGAUGUCGGAUUAGCUAGUUGGCGGGGUAAAGGCCCACCAAGGCGACGAUCCGUAGCUGGUCUGAGAGGAUGAUCAGCCACACUGGAACUGAGACACGGUCCAGACUCCUACGGGAGGCAGCAGUGGGGAAUAUUGGACAAUGGGCGCAAGCCUGAUCCAGCCAUACCGCGGGGGUGAAGAAGGCCUUCGGGUUGUAAAGCCCUUUUUGUUGGGAAAGAAAAGCAGCAGGUUAAUACCCCGCUGUUCUGACGGUACCCAAAGAAUAAGCACCGGCUAACUUCGUG
rnacentral:rRNA from 1 species